rnacentral:misc_RNA from 1 species
UGGAAGUAAAAGUCGUAACAAGGUCUCCGUUGGUGAACCAGCGGAGGGAUCAUUACCGAGUUUACAACUCCCAAACCCCAAUGUGAACGUUACCAAUCUGUUGCCUCGGCGGGAUUCUCUUGCCCCGGGCGCGUCGCAGCCCCGGAUCCCACGGCGCCCGCCGGAGGACCAACUCCAAACUCUUUUUUCUCUCCGUCGCGGCUCCCGUCGCGGCUCUGUUUUAUUUUUGCUCUGAGCCUUUCUCGGCGACCCUAGCGGGCGUCUCGAAAAUGAAUCAAAACUUUCAACAACGGAUCUCUUGGUUCUGGCAUCGAUGAAGAACGCAGCGAAAUGCGAUAAGUAAUGUGAAUUGCAGAAUUCAGUGAAUCAUCGAAUCUUUGAACGCACAUUGCGCCCGCCAGUAUUCUGGCGGGCAUGCCUGUCCGAGCGUCAUUUCAACCCUCGAACCCCUCCGGGGGGUCGGCGUUGGGGAUCGGCCCCUCACCGGGCCGCCCCCGAAAUACAGUGGCGGUCUCGCCGCAGCCUCUCCUGCGCAGUAGUUUGCACACUCGCACCGGGAGCGCGGCGCGGCCACAGCCGUAAAACACCCCAAACUUCUGAAAUGUUGACCUCGGAUCAGGUAGGAAUACCCGCUGAACUUAAGCAUAUCAAUAAGCGGAGGAA